CUGGGACGUCACUGUGAUGAGCUCAGUCAACUGGCCUCACUCCUUGCCUCUCACUUCUGUCAGUAACCCCGUCAGAGAGUAUUUAGGAGUCCGAGCCUAAAAGCCUUCCUGGAGCUCUGGAGACUGACAGUGAGGGCUCUCUGGGGCCCCUUCUUCUGUAAUGAAUGAUGCUCUCUGUUCUCAUGUGUCUUCCCUUGACCGCUGUAGGUACUGGGCUAAGGCCCAUCUGCUGACCUGAAUACAAGGCCUCACAUGGAAGACAUCAAAUCCCUGGACUCCUGCUGUGAAGUGCACGUACGUCUCAUCUGGAUACUUCUGCCUGGUGCUUAUCUGAACACUUUUGCCUGAGGCUUCCUGGAAAUGGCUGAAGCAGGAAGAGGAGAGGAGGGAGUGCUCAGCCCCCAGUCGAAGGGUCACGGGAUCUGCUGUUCUGCUGCCUGGCGGCUGCCCCUUCAAACCUAAGCUCUAACCUCCCUUCUCAGACUGCAGCCCCCCUUCCCUGUGUUUGGCUGGAAGGAAGUGCUGACCACAGGAGAGGUCCUGAGUCACCUGUGUGACAGGUACUGGGGGGCUACAUCCCAUCUGCUGACCAGAGGCCAAGGCCUCACAUCGAAGACGUCAACUCCUGAGACUCCUGGUGUGAAGUGCAUGUACAUCUCACCUGGACACUUAUACCUGAGACUU
rnacentral:lncRNA from 1 species